GGUUGUACCUGCCCAUGAUGAUUUAAAUGGCCGCGGUAUACUGCCGUGCAAAGGUAGCAUAAUCAUUAGUUUUUUAAUUGAAAGCUUGAAUGAAAGGUUUGAUGAGAAAAUGUCUGUCUCUGUUUAAAUUUAUUAGAAUUUUAUUUUUGAGUUAAAAAGCUCAAAUGCUUAUAGAAGACGAGAAGACCCUAUAGAGUUUAAAAUUUAAUUGAAUAAUACAUUUAUAGCUAAUCUAUUAAUAUGUUUUUAUAUGAUUAAGUUUUUUGUUGGGGUGAUAGAAAAAUUUAAUUAACUUUUUUUUUUGACAACCACUAAUUUGUGAACAAAUGAUCCUAGUUUUUUAGAUUAUAAGAAUAAACUACCUUAGGGAUAACAGCGUAAUUUUUUUUAGAGUUCUUAUCGAAAGAAAAGAUUGCGACCUCGAUGUUGGAUUAAAAUUUAUUGUUGGUGAAGGAGCUAAUAGAUUAAGUCUGUUCGACUUUUAAAAUUUUAC
rnacentral:rRNA from 1 species